GGGGAUUUAGCUCAGUGGUAGAGCAUGUGCCUAGCAAGUGCAAGGCCCUGGAUUCAGUCCUCA
rnacentral:tRNA from 1 species